GCGGGGAUGGUGGAAUUGGUAGACACGCCAGCUUGAGGUGCUGGUGACGCAAGUCGUGGCUGUUCAAGUCAGCUUCUCCGCA
rfam:Treponema berlinense strain ATCC BAA-909 genome assembly, contig: EI67DRAFT_scaffold00002.2